GGAUGACUCCUCAUCCUCCCACCAUUCCUGUCACUGUGAGGAGAAUCGAAGGUGCAUGCCUCAGUUGGAGCCAAACAAACUCUUUGGGGUAAGCAGCAAAGACAAUUAUAUUACAAUUUCCAUCCCGGCAUCAGAUCGCCCUACAGAACAUUCACUUUAGCAUCUUCUCUAGGGAACUGAGUUAAUGUAGUUCUGUGGGGCUGAAUUAAUGGGAAUAGUUUUAUAGGUUGGGUUAGAUUGCAACACGCAGACUGUAGUCUAAAGAUUGUAACUGACUUUAUUUUUAAUCCCUUUUUCCUGUCUUUUCAACAGCCAACAUCAUCGGAGGACUCCAGUGACAGCGUAAGCAGAAAAAGAAACCUUUUACAAACUUUGCAUUCAUUUGCCCUGUGAAAUAUUCAUUUGUGAUUUUCUCUCUCUUUUAACCAGGAUGACUCCUCAUCCUCCCACCAUUCCUGUCACUGUGAGGUAAGCAGGAAAUAUUCAAUGAACGGAUGAAAGUGCAAUGAAAGAAAUGUUAAAGAUUUGUUUUAUCAUAUUCUGUAUUGAU